rnacentral:rRNA from 1 species
UACGUAGGGGGCAAGCGUUGUCCAGAAUCAUUGGGCGUAAAGAGCGUGUAGUCGGUCCGAUAAGUCCGCUCUGAAAGCCCGGGGCUCAACCCCGGGAGGCGGGCGGAUACUGUCGGGCUAGAGUCCGGAAGAGGCAAGUGGAAUUCCUGGUGUAGCGGUGAAAUGCGCAGAUAUCAGGAGGAACACCGAUGGCGAAGGCAGCUUGCUGGGACGGUACUGACGCUGAGACGCGAAAGCGUGGGGAGCAAACAGG